CAGAUUGGAGUAGUAGUUACUGUCAAAGGCAUCCGGUGUUGUGAGAUCUAGAUCUGUUAUCACACUCCCAUUUCCACCUUGGGGACAUAAUUCCUGAAGAUCUGCUAGAAGAGUUCUGUUCAGUGACGGGUCAGGAGCACCGGUGCCGUUGAAAUCAUACAAUCGGUGGCGGAAUGUAGAACAUUGUGCCCUCCCAAAUGUGUGAGCACCUGAGAAGAUAAGAAGGAAAUUACAUCAAAGGAGAAUCAAUUAUAACAGAGUUUUACGGUUUAGAGUUGAGCCUGACAAAUAAUACUUACCAGAUAGAGCUACCAAAUCACUAUUAUUGUUAAGGCUGACAUUAGUGAAGCUCUCUCUGAGUUGAUCAAGGGUUAAAAAAGGGGAUGGAAGGAAAGCAUCUGCUGCAUCUCGGCUUGCUGUUGUGCUAUCUCUUCUUCCUAAUGGAACUGUCCAAUUUGGACCUCCUGCCUGCAACCAUGCAUAGUUAGGGGUUACUACUUUUCAACUCUUAACGUUUUUCUAUCUUAACUCCUUUAGUCCAAACCUUCAUAAAGUCAUGUAAAAAAUCAAGUAAAUCUCAGCUUCUUUCUUUCAUUCAAUUAUGACAAACUAUGAUAUUUGUGUUCUUCGUGCUUUGACUAGAAUAUUUAGACAACAAGAUAUCAUUUUAUGAUUUGGGGGGUUGAGGGAUCGAUCAUUUUAAGAUACCAAGCAAACAGAUUCUUCAGCUGCAAUAGCGAGUAUAUCAGCACAGGAAACAGUAGCAGGACAGGCACUCUCCAACAAAGCCUUCAUUCUAUCAACAACUUCAAAACCUCUUGCAGAGUUGUUGUUCCCUCGGACUUCCUUUUCGCUCACUAUAGUAUCAGAAUCGUCCAACAAAAGCGAACCAUCGCAGCCCUGAAAAUAAAAUAAAAAACUUGAGAAUCACAACUUAGAUAGAAGGUUUAAUGUAAUUAAGCAAAUAUAAUAAGAUGUUUCAAAGUAAUUACAUUAACAAAGCAGUCAUGGAAGUGGAGCCUGAUGAGGCUGGCUCCAAUCCGAGGAUCGGAUGCCAAUGUCUCCGUAAUGACAUUACGGAUAAUGCUGCUCACAUUGGGACAUGUCUGGUCAUAAAAUGUUGGGAGUAAGCUGGCCAUAAGCCAAUGUUCCUCCAAGCAAAACUACAAAGAAAAGAGCUGCAACUAUAGCCUUAGAAAUAUGCAUUUUUCUCCAAUUUCUCCAAUGAAAUUGUUCUUGUCAAUGUUAAAACUUGCAUGGGAACUCAACGAUGUUAUAGUUUAUAUAGUGAUAAAGAGGUUUGGAAGCUAAGAUGCGGUGCUUUGAAUUUUUCAACAAGAAUAGCGGUGCUUUGAAUGUUUUAUCAAGAAUAGUAGCAGGUGAGGUGUUUGAGAUAGUGAUGUUUGAUUUUUAAAAUGUUUUUUAUUUUAAAAUGUAUUAAAAUAAUAUUUUUUUAUUUUUAAAAAUUUAUUUUUUAUAUCAGCAAAUCAAUUUAAUUGAAAUAAAAAAAAUAUUUCAAAAAUUUUGAAAAUUUCAAUUGAAUAAUUGUCGAUAAUGACAUGUUUCUCAAGUGAUAUUAGGUGGUGAUCACAAAAACAGGUUGGCGGGCUACAAUGUUGAAUAAUAAAUUUAUUAAAUUCAACUUUAAUAUGCCUGACUUUUAUUUGUGGAUGGUGGCCAGCUUAGCUAAAGUUCAAUAGAAGGAUCUAAAUUCUACUAUCCUAAUUAAUAUAUAGAGCUUCAACUUAAUGAUUACCAUUAUUAUGAUUUAACCAAUCUUAAAUUUCUUAAAAUAUGAGUGUCUUUACCGUCUAAUACAUGUUUAAGAAAGUUUCGAGAAAAUAGCAUUGUUCUAAAAAGAUUUUGAAAAUAUUACAUGUAAAAUCUGAGAGUUUUUUUUUUUUUAAUAAGAAAAACAAAACCUUAGUUCUCAUCACCUUUUUUAGAAAACUCUUCAGCUUUUUUAUUGGUUGUCCUGUUUUUGAAAUAUUUUUUUGUGCGAGUUUACUAAUUUAUCUUUAAAUUGUGCUAUUUUAAAAAAAACAAUAACAAAAUUAAAAAUAUAUCAUUUGCAUUCCAAUUACAAGUUUUUGUUCAGAAAAGUAGAGUUUUCUUUUCAUUAAAAAAUUAUAGCUCAACAAGUCAAAAUUUUUAUUUGCUUUUUAAAAUCACUAGUUUAAAUGUUAUAAAUUUCAGAAUUAUUAGGGAAUUAAAUAGUUAUUAAUUUUAGAACCUUAAGAGAUGAGUUGAUAUACACAUAAAUUGACUUGAAUAUCUAUUAUUAAAAUAAAAAAUAGGAUGAUAUAACUCCUUGAUUGUAAAAGUGUUGUUAAAAGUGUUGUUGGAGAUUAAAUCUCCUCGGUCAAUACCUUAAUAAAGAAAACACAAGCAAGAAAUUUCCUCGAUCAAUAUUUAUCAAAUAGCACAAUAACAUUUUUAUUUAUUUAUUUUAUGACUAUGCCUUUUGUAAUAGCUACUCUUCUAUGCAUAUGGGGCCUAUACAUAUAUAGUUAGUUUCUACCACUGGGACCGCCUGCUACAUGAAAUAGUAAUUUUAGAUUAACAUUUUUCUUGUAAAAACAUUGCAUUACCAUAUAUAUUUCAUGGCUUGAUUUAAUAGCAAAUUCCUAGUUAAUUUAAGCCGACAUGCAUGUACACCUUGCAAGCUUUUAUUGUUCCUUGCAUUGGAAGCUAGCUAUAAAGUGAAAGAAUUAGUCAUGUUCCUUUUCUUCUAGUCUUAUCUGGAUUUCUGUUUCUCGUGAUUAAACAGGAAAACACCACCAGUUUAAUUCAUGACUCCCUAAUUUGGGGCUGUCCUGAGCCAAGUUAAUGGAAAACGCUGUUUUUUUCUUUUUUAAAAAAUUCUAUCUCUUUUUAUUAAAAAAAGUUUAGAUUUUGACUUGACAGUCUAUCCUCACCCACAACUCAAAUUGUUACUGCAAUAAAAUCUUAUAACUAUAAUCAAAUAACAUUAAAUUACAUUCCUGAUCCAUGAUGAAGAUCUUCUUAGUGAUGUUUUAAUUUUAAGUUUAGCUAAACAUAUCAAGGAAUGUUUAUUUCAUAAAAAGUGAUUUUUUAAAAAUUAUUUUAAAAAUUUUUAUGUGUGUUUAUUUGUUAUUAAAACAAAUUGAUCAACGAAAAACACCUUUUAGUCAAAUAAAAAUUUAGUUUGGUUUCUAAAAGAGUGUUUUUUGAUUUAUUUUGGGCAGAAAUCACUUUUCAGAAGUUAUAAAAAAUUUACAAAUUUCAUAUUAUUUGCUGACGAUAUCAAAUUUGGUCCUCAAACUUUUGAUUGUUAUAUAUUUUGUUUUGAAUUUUUUUUUUAAAUUUUAUCCCUUAGAAUUUGACUUAAUUUUAUUUUUAUAUUAAAUUUGGUUCUCAUUUUUUAGUUGUUAUUUCUUUCUCUCUUAUCAUUUUUUAAUUGAAAUUUUUUAUCUAUUAAAUUUGGUCCUUAUUCUUUUGGUUGUUACUUAUUUUAUUUGAUAUAAUUUAUAAAAUUAUAAUAAUUAUUAUUAUAAUUUAUGAUGUUUCAAUUUUUUUAUCUAUUAGAUUUGAUCUUUAUUAUUUUGAUUGUUAUUUAUUUUAUUUGAGAUAAUUUAUGAAAUUAGAUUUUUUUUUAAUUUCAUUCUCAUUCAACUCUUUUAAUUUGUAAUAUUUGUUCCUCAUUAUUUUAAUUAACUUGGAAAAAAUAAAAUAUUAAUAGGUUAUUUUCCAGCUUAUCUUUUAUGACAUAACCAAACAUUAAAAAAUAUUUUCUAAUUUAUUUUUCAUGAUUCACUUUUCUAAAAUUUAUUUUCUAGAAAAAUUAUUUUCAAAACAAAUUAUUUUCCACCAAAUAAACGUGAUUUAAAAAUGAAAUUAUAAAGGUAUAGUUUAUCUUACAUAAACAAUACCUCGUAUGAAGGUUUAUAUUACAUUAAUAUCUACGAAAAAGAGAAAAACAUUGUCAAGAUCAAACUAUGAAGUAUAGUUUUGAAACUUGGCCUGGCUUGAUGAGUCGAUCUGGGGAUGAAAUUGAACCGGGUUGAAGAAAAAAUAAAGGAAGGAAAAACCUGGCCUGGAUCGACGGGUUGACCAGGCGAUCCGGUCAAAACCAGGCCGCAAACCCGUUGAUUUUUAUUUAUUUUUAUUUUUAUUAUUAAAAUGACGUUGUUUUGAAUUUUUUAAAAUAAAAAAUUUGACCUGGCCGAUCCGGUGACCCGGUCAAUAUCCGGAACCCAGGCCUUAAAACUAUGCUUCCAAGAAAGAAAUUUAAAGCAGUACUGCCAAUACGAGUUAUUUUUAUUUUCUUCAUUUCCAUUGAUAGUUUAAGAUCCAACUGUCAUGAAUUACCAGAUAUAUAGUUGGGGAAGUAAUCUUAGGUCUUCCCAGUAGCUGUGCCUCGUACAUGGGGACUAGUCUUUGUAAUAUUAACGUUCCCUAUUUAUUAUUUUUAUUUUCUUCAUUUCCAUAACUUCACCAAAAGAGUUAAUUAAAGUUUCAUCUAAUUAAUAGCCAAUUUACUAAAACCUCACAUCAAUGAUUCCUUGAAGUACAAUGCGAGCUGCAGAUACGAUAUUGACAGAAGCAUGCGUGGAGAUUUUCAUGCUGUGGGUGGUCACGUUUAAUUUUCUCACAUUUUUUAAGCAACAGUAGAACUCGAAUGCCAUCAGAAAACAUUGCUGUUCACAAAAUCAGAGGAUUUUCUGUCACAAUCUUGCUUUUAAUUAUAGGUUUCUUGUUCAUCACCUCUCUUGUAAAGUCAACGUGGGUUUGAAAGUGUGAUUAUAAUUGUUUUUUAAAGUAAUUUUUAUUUUAAAAAAUAUGUUAAUAAUAUAUAUUUUUUAUUUUUUAAAAAUUAUUUUUGAGAUUAGUAAAUUAAAAUGAUUUAAAAACAUUAAAAACAUAUUAAUUUAAAAUAAAAAUAAAAUAUUUAAUUUUAAAAGAAAACACUUUUAAAAUACAAUACCAAAUAUACCAUUAAAAGCAGUCAGGACGACAGUAAGUUUGAUUCCCUCAUUUGUGCUUUUUUUUCUUCUUCUGCUUAUUAUAGGAGUAAUAGAAUUCAACAUAUGUUAAUUCAUAAUUAAUGAAAAAAAAAAACACUCAUGGUGGUAAUGAGGUAACCUAGAUCGAAUGAAGGAUUAUUAGCAAGAAAGUUUUGAUAAGUUAAGUUAUCAUUCAUAAUUUUUUUCUGUUUACCUAACAUCGUAUAGUUCUUGAUUUAUUUAAUUAUAUAUAUGUAUAAUAUUUUUAAUUUAUAUUUAAUUUGUUUAUAUGUAAAAAUACAUUAAAAAAUCCACAUGUAUAAUUUUUUAUAUAAAAAAAUCUAACAUACUUCUGAACACGAGUAAAAUUAAGAAUAAACUAAAACUGCUCAGUGUUUCACUGUGCAAGUCCACAGUGAAACGUUGAGCUGUCUUCUUUUUUUUUUUUUUUUUUUUUUUUUGCUUUUAACUUUUUUUUAGGCUGUUUUUUUUUUCUUUGUUUUUUAGCUGUUUUAUUUUUUUUAAUGAUUUUUUAAAAAAAAAUUUGUUAAUAUUAAAUUUUUUUUUAUUUAGUUAUCAAAUUUUUAUAGUACAAGUUUGAGUUCGAUGGAUUAACCUGGAUUUUUUUUCUAGUUUUUCUUUUUAAUUAAAUUUUUUGAGUGCAGUCCACAGUUAAACGCUUAGCUAUCUUUUUUUUUUUCUUUUAAGCUGUUUUGUUUUCUUUGUUUUUUUAAUUAUUUUUUUUUUGUUUAUUUUUUUUUAAUGUUAAUUUUUUUUCUAUUUAGUUGUCAAACUUUCAUUACAUUGGUUCUGAGUUUGACGCGUUAACCCUGAUUAUUUUUUUCUGGUUUUUCUUUUUAAUUAAUUUUUUUGAGUGCAAUCACAGUGAAAUGCUUAGUUGUCUUUUUUUUUUUUUGCUUUUUUUUUAAAGUUUUUUUUUUUUUUUUUUUAAGUUGUUUUGUUUUCUUUGUUUUUUUUUAAUGAAUUUUUAUUUGUUUAUGUUAAAUUUGUUUCUAUUUAGUUAUCAAACUUUCAUUACAUGGGUUCCGGGUUUGACGCGUUAACCCGGAUUUUUUUUGUUUUUCUUUUUAAUUAAUUUUUUCAUUUAAUUUAGUUUGUUAAUGUUAAAUUUUUUCUAUUUAAUUAUCAAACUUUCAUUACAUGGAUUCCGGGUUUGACGGGUUAACCCAGCUAUUUUUGGGUUAACCCGUAAAUUAUUUUUUCCCUAUUCAGUUAUCAAACUUUAAUGACACGAAUUCCAUAUUUCACGGGUUAACCUGGUUUGAAGGAUUAACCCAGAUAAUUCAUAUUUUUUUUCUUUUUCUUCAUUAGUUUUUUUCUUCAUGUAGGAUUUUUUAAAAAAAAUUAAUAUUUUUUUUGUUUCGUAUUUUUUUUUUUUUUUUUAAUUUUUUAUUUGUUAAAUUAGUUUUUAUUAAGUUUUUUUAUAUUUAGUUAUCAAACUUUCAUGAUACGAAUCCCAGGUUUGAUGGAUUUUUUUCCUUUUGUUCAUUAGUUUUUUUUUUCUUCCUGUAGUUUUUUUUUUCCUUUGUUUUUGUUCAUUUUAGUUUAUUAAUGUUAAUUUUUUUAUAUUUAAUUAUCAUACUCUCAUGACACGAAUCUUAGGUUUGACGGGUUAACUAGAUUUGGCGGGCUAACCCAGUUAAUUCAUUUUUUUUUUCUUCCAAUUUUUUCUUUAAAUAUUGUAAUUAACAAUAACUAAAAGACAUCAAUCUUUUUUCUUCCAAUUUUAUAACACGAAUCCCAGGUUUGAUGAGUUAAACCAGUUAAUUAAUUUUUUUUUCUUUUUCUUAAGUAGUUUUUUUCUUUCAAUUUUAUUUUUUAAUAUCGAUUUGAUUAAGAAUUAAACUUUAUGAUUUAUUUUGUUUACUGGUCAUUAAAUUAUUGUGAUCUCAUGAGGGGAUUUUACCGUGCCCCUCCUUGCAAAGCACUAUUCAUCAGAAUAAUACUUUGUUUUAUUGUUUAUUUCUUUUCAAUUAAUUUUUUUUAAUUUCAUUAUGUAAUAUUAAUUUUUUUUUCUUUUUAAUUAUCACACUUCUAUAACAAAACCUUGCAACCAGACUCAUAUCAAAGGCUCCGUGUUUGAUGUUGCCACCAAACUCACUUAAAUUUGGGCUAUGCAAGUUUAAUAUUAUUAUUAAUAUAACUUUUGAAUCAAGAGUAACAGAUAGACCCAAUGCUUUUAAGUAUAACUUUAUAGAAAAACCUAACACUCUUAAAUUUUAACUUUUUUGAAUAUUUUUUAUAUAAAAAACAUUGACCCGCAGCGUAGCGCGGGCCACAUUUCUAGUAGCUAACUAUAACCAGAAAUGGAGCAUUUUUGUUACAACGAAAAAGGGGAGAAAAACACUGUAACAUCUAAUAAUUUUCCUUAGUGUAUUUAAUGCUACAUAAUUCAGCAAAAUUAAAGGAAAAGGAAAGAAGGACAAACAAAAUUAAUCUAAUGCGAACACUCUUCUUUGGUUAGAAAUAAUUGUCCACAACCUAGAAAAGCAAAUGGAAAAGUCCACAACCUUGAAAAGCAUUAUUUCAUCAGCAAACAUAUCUCUGGGUAAUGGCAAUAAUUCUCCCCCAAUUAUCACAUGAUUUCCAGCUUGGUCCCCGAACAAAAACAAUUCCCAAUUGGAUUUUGUUAUCUAUCAAAUUAACAAUACCCAAUUAGGGUUAACUGUGUAGUUUUCCAAAUAGUUAUAAAACUUGGCUUUAUAGAUUAAUUUAAUGACUCGUUGACUCAUAACCUCAUUUGAGCCAUGUUUUUCUUUGUAUUUUAAACUUAAAAUGAUAUAUAUAUUUUUUGUAAAAUAUGAUUGUUUUAAUAUAUUUGUUAAUUUACGUAUCAACUUGUGACCUAGGUUUUUGGCCAGAUUGACCCUCAAAUUGGGUAUAACUAUGGUUUUAAUGGAUUUAAUUUAAGAUUUAAUGAUAUUUGAAGGAAAAAAACCGAAUUAUUUGAGAAGAAUUCAGCCACUCGUUCCAAUUUUUAUCCACCGACAGUGAUAAAAGACAUAUAAUAUAAUUUAGCUCAUCUCUUCUUCAAAAAUAAGCAAUAGCAUAUCAUUGUCAAUUACAGCAGAAAAGAUCAUGGGAAAAAAAUAAUUCAUUUUAGCAUAGCUGUUAACAUGGAAAAAAAACAAAUUUUUUUUUUAUUAAAACAAUAUUGUUUUAUAAAGUUAAUCUAACCAAGUUUAGAAUAGAUUCUACAAGGAUUAAUAUUUUUUUCUGGUUUAAUUUAAAACUCAAUCACAAUUACGCAAGGAUCAUAAAUUUAUCGAAUCAGUAAGACUUAACAUUUAUGCAUUUUUUAGCGUGCGAGAAAAAUGUCAACAAGGCUCCAUUUGGUAUUCAUUUUUCAUCACUCUGAUAUUUAUUACAGUGCAUAAGAUCGCUUAUUAUCACCUGCUUCCUGGCAUGUAGCCUAUCGUUCAAAUUGAGCUAACAAGCAUGCUAUCUGGCCCAGCCAAGUUUGUAUUGACUACGCUGCAGUUCAACCUGAUCUCUCCUUCAGUUCCUGUCAGAGGGCUGAGAUUUCCCAUUCUUAUCAUGGACUCCGCAAAGCUUUCAAAGAAAGCUGUUUGAUUAGCACUGAAAGCGUUAACAAGUGCAAUGAUAUCAUCUGCCCCAGGAGUUGAAAACAGUACUUGAUCCGUCUGAAGCAGGCCUCGGUUACCUUGCAGAUUGGAGUAGUAGUUACUGUCAAAGGCAUCCGGUGUUGUGAGAUCAAGAUUUGUUAACACACUCCCAUUUCCACCCUGGGGACAUAAUUCCUGAAGAGCUGCUAGAAGAGUUGGGUCCAGUGAUGGGUCAGGAGCACCGGUGCUGUUGAAAUCAUACAAUCGGAAGUCGAAUGUAGAGCAUUUUGCCC
rnacentral:lncRNA from 1 species